UACGUAGGGUGCGAGCGUUGUCCGGAAUUAUUGGGCGUAAAGAGCUUGUAGGCGGUUUGUCGCGUCUGCUGUGAAAAUCCGGGGCUCAACCCCGGACUUGCAGUGGGUACGGGCAGACUAGAGUGUGGUAGGGGAGACUGGAAUUCCUGGUGUAGCGGUGGAAUGCGCAGAUAUCAGGAGGAACACCAAUAGCGAAGGCAGCUCGCUGGGACGGUACUGACGCUAAGGCGCGAAAGCGUGGGGAGCAAACAGG
rnacentral:rRNA from 1 species